rnacentral:rRNA from 1 species
UACGGAGGGCGCGAGCGUUAAUCGGAAUUACUGGGCGUAAAGCGCGCGUAGGCUGUUGUGUAAGUUGGGGGUGUAAUCCCACGGCUCAACCGUGGAACAGCCCUUGAUACUGCGCGACUUGAAUCCGGGAGAGGGUGGCGGAAUUCCAGGUGUAGGAGUGAAAUCCGUAGAUAUCUGGAGGAACAUCAGUGGCGAAGGCGGCCACCUGGACCGGUAUUGACGCUGAGGCGCGAAAGCGUGGGGAGCAAACAGG